rnacentral:rRNA from 1 species
AGAGUUUGAUCCUGGCUCAGGAUGAACGCUGGCGGCGUGCUUAACACAUGCAAGUCGAACGAGCCUUCGGGCUAGUGGCGGACGGGUGAGUAACGCGUGGGAAUCUGCCCUCAGGAGGGGGAUAACGGCCGGAAACGGCCGCUAAUACCCCAUAUGCCGAGAGGUGAAAUGAAUUUCGCCUGAGGAUGAGCCCGCGUCUGAUUAGCUAGUUGGUGUGGUAACGGCGCACCAAGGCGACGAUCAGUAGCUGGUCUGAGAGGAUGAUCAGCCACACUGGGACUGAGACACGGCCCAGACUCCUACGGGAGGCAGCAGUGGGGAAUUUUCCGCAAUGGGCGAAAGCCUGACGGAGCAACGCCGCGUGAGGGAUGAAGGCCUCUGGGCUGUAAACCUCUUUUCUCAAGGAAGAAGACAUGACGGUACUUGAGGAAUAAGCCACGGCUAAUUCCGUGCCAGCAGCCGCGGUAAUACGGGAGUGGCAAGCGUUAUCCGGAAUUAUUGGGCGUAAAGCGUCCGCAGGCGGCCUUGUAAGUCUGUCGUUAAAGCGUGGAGCUUAACUCCAUUUGAGCGAUGGAAACUACAAGGCUUGAGUGUGGUAGGGGCAGAGGGAAUUCCCGGUGUAGCGGUGAAAUGCGUAGAUAUCGGGAAGAACACCAGUGGCGAAGGCGCUCUGCUGGGCCAUAACUGACGCUCAUGGACGAAAGCCAGGGGAGCGAAAGGGAUUAGAUACCCCUGUAGUCCUGGCCGUAAACGAUGAACACUAGGUGUCGGGGGAAUCGACCCCCUCGGUGUCGUAGCUAACGCGUUAAGUGUUCCGCCUGGGGAGUACGCACGCAAGUGUGAAACUCAAAGGAAUUGACGGGGGCCCGCACAAGCGGUGGAGUAUGUGGUUUAAUUCGAUGCAACGCGAAGAACCUUACCAGGGUUUGACAUCCUGCGAAUCCCUUGGAAACGAGGGAGUGCCUUCGGGAGCGCAGAGACAGGUGGUGCAUGGCUGUCGUCAGCUCGUGUCGUGAGAUGUUGGGUUAAGUCCCGCAACGAGCGCAACCCACGUCUUUAGUUGCCAGCAUUCAGUUGGGCACUCUAGAGAGACCGCCGGUGAUAAACCGGAGGAAGGUGUGGAUGACGUCAAGUCAUCAUGCCCCUUACAUCCUGGGCUACACACGUACUACAAUGCUACGGACAAAGGGUUGCAAGCUCGCGAGAGUUGGCUAAUCCCAUAAACCGUGGCUCAGUUCAGAUCGUAGGCUGCAACUCGCCUACGUGAAGGAGGAAUCGCUAGUAAUCGCAGGUCAGCAUACUGCGGUGAAUACGUUCCCGGGCCUUGUACACACCGCCCGUCACACCAUGGAAGUUGGCCAUGCCCGAAGUCGUUACUCCAACCCUUGUGGAGGAGGACGCCGAAGGUGGGGCUGAUGACUGGGGUGAAGUCGUAACAAGGUA